UACGUAGGGUGCGAGCGUUGUCCGGAAUUAUUGGGCGUAAAGGGCUCGUAGGCGGUUUGUCGCGUCGGGAGUGAAAACACCGGGCUUAACUCGGUGCUGGCUUUCGAUACGGGCAGACUAGAGGUAUGCAGGGGAGAACGGAAUUCCUGGUGUAGCGGUGAAAUGCGCAGAUAUCAGGAGGAACACCGGUGGCGAAGGCGGGUCGCUGGGCCGAUACUGACGCUGAGGAGCGAAAGCGUGGGGAGCGAACAGG
rnacentral:rRNA from 1 species